UACGUAGGGUGCAAGCGUUGUCCGGAAUUAUUGGGCGUAAAGAGCUCGUAGGCGGCCUGUCGCGUCGGCUGUGAAAACCCGGGGCUCAACCCCGGGCCUGCAGUCGAUACGGGCAGGCUAGAGUCCGGCAGGGGAGACUGGAAUUCCUGGUGUAGCGGUGAAAUGCGCAGAUAUCAGGAGGAACACCGGUGGCGAAGGCGGGUCUCUGGGCCGAUACUGACGCUGAGGAGCGAAAGCAUGGGUAGCGAACAGG
rnacentral:rRNA from 1 species